CUUAAAUAUGCAACUAGCUUUUUCUGGAGGGGUUUUACUGAAAUGAGUUUAGACAGAGACUGCACAGGCCUCCAGCACUGCAAGGGCAACCCGGAAGAGAGACAACUUGCUAAGCCUUUCAAAAGAAUGGGGAAGUAUUGGUUCCAGACCUGCUGCAGAGAGAGGCUCAAAGAGACUCGGCACUGGCAGAACAAAGAAACCUAGGAGGGAAGCUUUGCUCCAAAAGAGAGGUUUUGCUUCAGGAGAAGACUGUUCCAAGAAAAGGGAGACUGGCUGUUUCAAACUCAAAAAAGCUGAUCUUAUGGCUCUUAGCAAAAUACAUGAAGGCCAUCAUCGGAUGUGGGCUGAUUGAUCUUGGACUUCCAAGCCUCCAGAACUAGAACUACUCCACCAUCAUCUGAUGUGGUUCUGAUGGCUGUGUGUUUCUCAGCUUUAUCCUCAGCCUGUGGGUAAUUUAAAAUAAAUACUUUUGCAAGUGAACCAAUAGAAAUAUUUCACUGUCAUUGGGCAGAAAGCUAAAAACCUAAUUACGUUGGAAGUAGGAAGAGGAAGUAAGUAUGGUUGGAAGAGGUGGAGUCUGGUGCUGCCAGAGCAGAAAGCACAAAGAAGAACGUGCUUUUAGGUGGGUGCCCUAAGAGACAUGAUAAGUGAAAAAGGCCUAGAUGCCCCAAAUUGCAAAAGUAAUGAAAAAGACCCAGUGAUAAUAAUGCGAUUGGAAAGGAAGACACUGAUUUCUCACAUGACUGUGGCAAACUGUGAAGAGUGAAAAUUCCAGAAGACUUAAAUUGUCUAUAGUUUUGGCAUCUCUCCCUCUAUGUACUUGCUAUCUUUUUUUUGCUUUUAAGUCUGCUUAGUUACAACUGCAGACCACAGUAAAAUUAUAGAUUUGGAGAUGUUGGAAUGUUUCCUCAAAGAUAAAAGCCAAUUAAAAAAAUUUUAACAAAGAACAGAAGAAGCAAUCAAGAGUUUGUAACAAAUUAUUAGGAUUAAUA
rnacentral:lncRNA from 10 species